rnacentral:rRNA from 1 species
AUUGAACGCUGGCGGCAUGCCUUACACAUGCAAGUCGAACGGUAACAGGUCUUCGGAUGCUGACGAGUGGCGAACGGGUGAGUAAAGCAUCGGAACGUGCCCGGUCGUGGGGGAUAACUGCUCGAAAGAGCAGCUAAUACCGCAUACGACCUAAGGGUGAAAGCGGGGGACCUUCGGGCCUCGCGCGAUUGGAGCGGCCGAUGUCAGAUUAGGUAGUGGGUGGGGUAAAGGCUUACCAAGUCGACGAUCUGUAGCUGGUCUGAGAGGACGACCGGCCACGCUGGGACUAGGCCACGGCCCAGACUCCUGCGGGAGGCAGUAGUGGGGAAUUUUGGAAAAUGGGCGAAAGCCUGAUCCAGCCAUGCCGCGUGCAGGAUGAAGGCCUUCGGGUUGUAAACUGCUUUUGUACGGAACGAAACGGCCUUUUCUAAUACAGGAGGCUAAUGACGGUACCGUAAGAAUAAGCACCGGCUAACUACGUGCCAGCAGCCGCCGUAA